AUCAUAACAAAAAAAGGGGUCCCAACAAAUCAUAGCAGUUAGAAAUUAUUCUUCUCUAAAUUUGUUAAAGAAGAAAAUUAAAUCUUCACUUCGGAUUUUUUUUUAAAAACCUUAUAGAAGUAUAUAGCUUAAUAGAUUUAACAAAUAAGUGGCCCCUCACAAAUGUAGGGCCUAAAGCAGUUGCUUUACCUGCUUUGGGAAGGGCCGCCUCGGCAGACAAUCAGCAAGGAUUGUACUUUUGAAUGCAUGACUUGAUUCCUCUUCUUCUACUUAAUGCUCGGGAAAUAGAAAACAGGUUGUCAGCGAACAUGACGAGAGGGCGAGGUUCAAAGGGGAAAGAUUUAGGGUGAAUACCUAGGCACUAACUGAUUAUAACAUAAGCGAAAGUAAGAUAAAUCGAUAGAUUCAAAGUGAGUGUAAUUUUAUUAUGUUAUAUACUUUAAGUUUUUGUACGUAUAGUCCCUUCGAGAUAAAAACAAUAAUUUAGUUGAAUUAACCGUAAGAAUUACUGCCUUAGCAAUUUGACAGCCUGCAUGGUCAUGAUUAUAUGUGAAAUAAAUAAGUCCUUGGUUAAAAAAUAUUGAUAAUGAUGAGGAGUAUAUGAAGGCCCUCUGAUGUGAACCAAGCUAACUCCGUAAGAGUGUAUGGGCUAGAAGAAGUAAAUAAGGCUGAAUCAAUUGAGAUUAUUGGGCUGAGUAAAAUAUUAGAGAGUUUUAUUUGGGAUCCAGACCCAUUAGAAAAUGAUUAAAAGGGACAAGAGGUUAGUAAGAAGGAUUAUGUGAAUUGUGAUGUUGAAUAUGUUCACUGCAGUUCCUUUUGGGGCGGCUGUAGGACGGCCGCCUAUAGGUGGUAGGAUAGGGUGGGUGGUACCGCUCAGAUUGCGGCCAAUCUUCCUAACCACGCGCUCUCUCUUCUCUGCUCUGUAUCACUGAUUUCCUCGUCCCCCUUCUUUAUUGGUCUCUGUUUCUCACCUCUUUCUUCUUAUCAGUUCUUCUAUAUCAUUUCAAUUAAUAUUCCUUGUAAUUCUGUUUAGUAAGGGCAACACUACAAGUGAAUUUACUUGUGUGCGAAUUGGUUAUUUCAAGUUGUUACACCCUCCUAAGAUAAUACAAUAGUAGAGCAAAAGUUUAUUUCGAGUUAAUGAACUCAUCAGCUUGUAUUCACUUGUAAAAGUUAAGAUGGCCGGUGUCUAACACUGGCCCAAUAUUGUAAAAGUUGAAACAAUAAUUUUUAUCAACCUUAUUUUAAUAUGAAAUUGAAAAUACUAAAAGUUAGUACAUGUAAGUUAUUAUCAAAUCAAAUAUAAACAAUACUACAUGCCAUUGCUGGAUAACUCAUGUAACAUCAAGGUAUAAAAAUAUUCAAAUUGCCUUUCAUCCAACUUUGAAUGGAUAUUGUUCUCAAGAGGCCUUUAUAAGCCUGAAUCCUGAGACCUUGGCAUCAAGCACUUCCACCAAUAUGUUGCUUCCUUUUAUGUUACGACGCAUCUCACUUGGUCUAAUUCUUUCAUGCAGAUUAUUUCCCUGAAAUGUAGACAUCAGUUGAAAUUAUCGAGUCAUCUUUUAUCUAUCAUCCAAAAAAGCAUUUAAAACUUAUCUUUUGGCAGGGCUACUGAAUUUCAUCUAUCAUCAUCUUCUGCCUCCAAGCUCUUUUUCCUCCUCAGAAUGUGUUCUUAAGAUUGUCAAAUUUCAGUAGUACGUACUAAAUCGUAAGACUGUAGCUUGGUACCUAUCGAUUAUAUAUUGAAGAAGAAAACAUUUGAAACAUACUUAUAAAGCAGAAUUAUUCUCUGAAGAGCACUAUAACUUUAUAAAAAAUCAAAUAUGCAACCUGUUAUAUUUGUUAUACAUACUUGGAUGAAUUUAGGAACCUCUAAUUAUCUGCAUGUAGGUAGAAUGCUAACCUCGCUAACUGGAAAGAUACACAUGUUGAAUGAUCAAUUUUCAUCUAUGUAUGGUCAUAAAUAUGAUGGAAAUAAAUAAAUUGAACAUAAAAACUCUUAGAAGCAAAAUUGCAAUGCCAAGUUGCUAGAAGUGACUCCACGUUAUACAAUAUAAUGGAGUGCUCUGAAGCUCUCUGGUGGCAUCUUGCAAGAUUUCCUUCUACUUUUUCAUUUUUAGAUUGCAAUUUAGCAAAUGGUUUGCUCAACACACACUUAAAGCUCAAUAGAAUUGCUCACAAAGUUUAUAACCAACUGAAAGACUUUACACCUUUUCCCUUUCCUUCUCAAAUAUGAACCCAAAUAAUGACAAAGUCUAUUAGAAACCAUAAAAGCUUAACAUUUCGAAAACUAAAGGUAUUUUGUGCAUAGGCAAGAUCAAAUAACCAGAAUAACAGAUAAGUAUAAAUAAAUAACAAGCACAACGAUCAUAUAGUAUUUUAAAUCAUUCAAAGUGCUUAUUAGGGCUUCUAAGACGAAAACUGAAGAUUUUCGUGGCCUUUAAAUUUUAAAGGAAAUAGUCAAGAAGAAAGAGAAAACAAUAGCUUUUGAUUUGAAAAAUAUUCUAGUAACAUGUACAUGGAUGUAGUUUUGGAACUCAAAAUUAUUAAUGAAUUUUGCAAAAAAAAUGCGAUUGAGUUAAAUAUGCUCGCUAGAAACCAUGUUAUUAUGAACUAUUUUACACUCUCUUUUAGAAGGUAAGUAGAAUAGACUAGCUUACACUUAAAGAUGGUAUUUUGAUGACCAAACUAAUGGCCACCGCCUAAAAUCCCUUUUUUUUUCGUUCUAAAAACAUGCGAUAAUUACCAAACUGAAAAGUAAACUAAAAUUGAAUUCGAAUCACAAAGCUAACCGGUGUUUCUAUUUGCCAUUACCUGUUGGUGCUCGGGAGUCUACCAAAUAGAAAACCAUUCCUAACAUCUUUCAACAUGAUAGCACUCUUAGGCCUUUGGAAACUGCAUAUGAAAAUUCAUUCUCAAAAGCUACGCUAACGCUAAAAGCAUAUACCAUAUUCAAAAAACAAAAAGGUAGUGCAUUUUCAAUCGCCACAUUGUUUGAUUUGCAAGUAAAAGCAUUUCGUGUAGCAAGAAUCAAACCCACUAAAGACAACUUUCCUCAGUUUUGCUGUGUUUUUAUUAUACUCGGCAUAUGUUUCUUUUAUUUUUUGCUUUUAAGAAGCUAAUAGGAAUUAUAGUUAUCAUUGACAUUAUCAAGUUUUUCAUUCACCUAACUAUGAAUAUAAACAUUUGGUCCAGUGCUCAUAUUUAGGAGUGACAAGGGCCACGAUAUAUAAAUGAAACAAAAUAUGAAGGGAAAAAAAGUGAUUGUCCUUCUCACAUGGAGACCUUGAGGUUGUAUCUUUUUAAUGGUGGAUAUAGUUCACAGUUCAUCCAAUAAUAAUGCAGACUUUGUAGGUAGUGAAAGUGUUGUGACUAUCAGUGGCUUGACCUUUUUAGAUCUAAAAUAAAACACUUUCCUUAGUUUCUUUGUCCUUUUCGUUCUUCUUUUACUCUCUUUCCUCAUCAUUUACUCUAUAAUAUCAGUUCCUCACAUCUCAUAACCAAAGAAUUGAAAGUAUUAAUUUUAAUUUUAUUCAUAUCAACCUGGUCUUUCUUAUUUUAUUUUAGCUUUUACAUUAAAAUCUUAAGUUAUAGAGACGAAGCAAACCAAUUUUUAUAAAAGACUAUCAUGGAUCGUUUAUAUAAAGAAGACUGUCAUAGAUUAUUGAAGCUUGUGUUCAUUAAAAGAAGGGCCCUAAGGACUUUCAUGGAACACCUUAGGGGUCGUUUCAUUCGGUUAGGAAAUUUUUUGAAACUUAGUAGGUACUAAGAAAAUGCUAUUUCACACUUUGUUUCUUCGACAUAUCAGAAAAAUAUGAAUUACAUUGACCCAAGCAUGAAGUGAACAACUCAAUUGUAAUUUAGUUAUUUUCAAACGUAUUCAAAAAGCCAGAAAAAGUAAAAAGCACAAAAUCAGAAAGACUAUAAGGUUCAAAACAAUGAGUAGACAUAAAAAAAUAUUCGGCCAAGAGGACCAAGACAUUAUCAAAGAUCUGAAUCAACCCACUAUGACUUUUAAUAGUUUGGAUUUCUUUGCAUUCAACGCAAAGCUAUACAUGCAAACAUAUUGAAUCCCUAAGAAUCACAAAAUUCUGUAUAAAUUAGAAGAAAAACUUAAAUAUGAAAAAGUACAAACCUAACAAUGAUAUUUUUACAAAAAUGGCUGAAGGCGCCUUCAAGCACAUGCCCUGUAACAUCCCAUGAUAACUGAUAACCCUAUGACAUCUAGAUUCGCAAUAAAAUUGGUCCUUUCAUGGUUUUCUCCACGCUUUCCAUAACGAAACUCUGAAAUAAUUGAACAGAAUACUAAUCAAUUUGGUACAGUAAGAAAAUCUAAGAAUUCAAUUGAGUUGAAAUCAAAUAAACAUUGACUUUGGGUUGAGCACAAGAGAUAUAAAUUGUUCUGUAUUGGGAGUGAAAUUCCAAAGAAAAAUCAGUAAGCAAGACCAAAGAGAGGGAAAACCGAGAAUGAAGAACCGAGAAUGAAGAAAGAUGAGCAGACUCGGGGCCUCAGGUAAGCGAUAAGAUUAUGCGGUGAGAAAAGGAUGUUGUGGCUGAGAAAGAAAUCAAGAAAGCUACAUGUAGUAUUUGUGAUGUCACGACCCCAAAUAUCAGUCGUGAUGGCGCCUAUCACAUUACUAGGCAAG
rnacentral:lncRNA from 1 species